rnacentral:rRNA from 1 species
CCCGCUGAACUUAAGCAUAUCAAUAAGCGGAGGAAAAGAAACUAACGAGGAUUCCCCUAGUAACUGCGAGUGAAGCGGGAAAAGCUCAAAUUUAAAAUCUGGUGGCCUUUGGCCGUCCGAGUUGUAAUUUAGAGAAGCGUCUUCCGCGCCGGACCGUGCACAAGUCUCCUGGAAUGGAGCGUCAUAGAGGGUGAGAAUCCCGUCUUUGGCACGGAACCCCUGGUGCUUCUGUGAUGCGCUCUCGAAGAGUCGAGUUGUUUGGGAAUGCAGCUCAAAAUGGGUGGUGAACUCCAUCUAAAGCUAAAUAUUGGCGAGAGACCGAUAGCGAACAAGUACCGUGAGGGAAAGAUGAAAAGCACUUUGGAAAGAGAGUGAAACAGUACGUGAAAUUGUUGAAAGGGAAACGCUUGGAGUCAGUCGCGUCGGCCAAGACUCAGCCUUGCCUCGGCUUGGUGUACUUCUUGGCCGACGGGCCAGCAUCGAUUUCGUCCCUCAGAUAAUGGCAAGGGAAAGGUGGCACCUUUGCAGGUGUGUUAUAGUCUCCUGUCGCAUGUGAGGGGUGGGAUCGAGGAACUCAGCACGCACCUUUCGGUGUCGGGGCUUCGGCCCACGUUACGUGCUUAGGAUGUUGGCGUAAUGGCUCUAAACGACCCGUCUUGAAACACGG